rnacentral:rRNA from 1 species
CACGUAGGGGGCGAGCGUUGUCCGGAUUUAUUGGGCGUAAAGAGCUCGUAGGCGGCUCGGUAAGUCGGGUGUGAAAUUUCGAGGCUCAACCUCGAAACGCCACCCGAUACUGCUGUGGCUAGAGUCCGGUAGGGGAGCGUGGAAUUCCUGGUGUAGCGGUGAAAUGCGUAGAUAUCGGAAGGAACGCCGGUGGCGAAAGCGGCGCACUGGAUCCCCACUGACGCUGAGGCGCGAAAGCCAGGGGAGCAAACAGG